AUGAACGCUGUCUACAGGCUUCACACAUGCAAGUCGAGGGGAAACGACGGGGAAGCUUGCUUCCCCGGGCGUCGACCGGCGCACGGGUGAGUAACGCGUAUCCAACCUGCCUCUGACUGAGGGAUAACCCGUCGAAAGUCGGCCUAAUACCUCAUGGCAUCGUCUGCGGGCAUCCAACGACGAUUAAAGAUUUCAUCGGUCAGGGAUGGGGAUGCGUCUGAUUAGCUUGUUGGCGGGGUAACGGCCCACCAAGGCUACGAUCAGUAGGGGUUCUGAGAGGAAGGUCCCCCACAUUGGAACUGAGACACGGUCCAAACUCCUACGGGAGGCAGCAGUGAGGAAUAUUGGUCAAUGGGCGGGAGCCUGAACCAGCCAAGUAGCGUGCAGGAUGACGGCCCUAUGGGUUGUAAACUGCUUUUAUGCGGGGAUAAAGUGAGGGACGUGUCCUUCAUUGCAGGUACCGCAUGAAUAAGGACCGGCUAAUUCCGUG
rnacentral:rRNA from 1 species